GGGUUGUGAGGUUAAGCGACUAAGCGUACACGGUGGAUGCCCUGGCAGUCAGAGGCGAUGAAGGGCGUGCUAAUCUGCGAUAAGCGCCGGUAAGGUGAUAUGAACCGUUAUAACCGGCGAUACCCGAAUGGGGAAACCCAGUGUGACUCGUCACACUAUCAUUAACUGAAUCCAUAGGUUAAUGAGGCGAACCGGGGGAACUGAAACAUCUAAGUACCCCGAGGAAAAGAAAUCAACCGAGAUUCCCCCAGUAGCGGCGAGCGAACGGGGAGGAGCCCAGAGCCUGAAUCAGCAUGUGUGUUAGUGGAAGCGUCUGGAAAGGCGCGCGAUACAGGGUG
rnacentral:rRNA from 1 species